AUAUGCCGAGAGGUGAAACGAAUUUCGCCUGGGGAUGAGCUCGCGUCUGAUUAGCUUGUUGGUGGGGUAACGGCCUACCAAGGCUUCGAUCAGUAGCUGGUCUGAGAGGACGAUCAGCCACACUGGGACUGAGACACGGCCCAGACUCCUACGGGAGGCAGCAGUGGGGAAUUUUCCGCAAUGGGCGCAAGCCUGACGGAGCAACGCCGCGUGAGGGAUGAAGGCCUUUGGGCUGUAAACCUCUUUUCUCAAGGAAGAAGAUCUGACGGUACUUGAGGAAUAAGCCACGGCUAAUUCCGUGCCAGCAGCCGCGGUAAUACGGGAGUGGCAAGCGUUAUCCGGAAUUAUUGGGCGUAAAGCGUCCGCAGGCGGCCGUUUAAGUCUGUUGUUAAAUCGUGGAGCUCAACUCCAUCACGGCAAUGGAAACUGUUCGGCUUGAGUAUGGUAGGGGCAGAGGGAAUUUCCGGUGUAGCGGUGAAAUGCGUAGAUAUCGGGAAGAACACCAGUGGCAAAAGCGCUCUGCUGGGCCAUUACUGACGCUCAUGGACGAAAGCCAGGGGAGCGAAAGGGAUUAGAUACCCCUGUAGUCCUGGCCGUAAACGAUGAACACUAGAUGUUGGGGGAAUCGACCCCUCCGGUGUCGUAGCUAACGCGUUAAGUGUUCCGCCUGGGGAGUACGCACGCAAGUGUGAAACUCAAAGGAAUUGACGGGGGCCCGCACAAGCGGUGGAGUAUGUGGUUUAAUUCGAUGCAACGCGAAGAACCUUACCAAGGCUUGACAUCCUGCGAAUCUCCAAGAAAUUGGAGAGUGCCUUCGGGAACGCAGUGACAGGUGGUGCAUGGCUGUCGUCAGCUCGUGUCGUGAGAUGUUGGGUUAAGUCCCGCAACGAGCGCAACCCACGUUUUUAGUUGCCAGCAUUCAGUUGGGCACUCUAGAAAGACUGCCGGUGACAAACCGGAGGAAGGUGUGGACGACGUCAAGUCAUCAUGCCCCUUACGCCUUGGGCUACACACGUACUACAAUGCUGCGGACAAAGAGU
rnacentral:rRNA from 1 species